rnacentral:lncRNA from 1 species
AGAUAUUUCUGAUGAAGAAAACGAUCUGCUCUUACCUAUUUUAUGAAUCAGCAGCAUAGUGUAUCAGAGUGGCUAAUGACAUCUGCUUUUGAAGAAGAAGUAAAAUAUUCACAAGAUGAAGAUUUUUCCAGAAGGGACUUUGAGUCAAAGAUGGCUUUUUAUAUUUGACAAGUCUUGUCAUCUGUAAUGAAGAUCAUUGUGAAACAGAAGAUUGAUUAAAGCCUUGUAACAUUGGACCUAGAUUAGAGAUUUAGAAAAGAAAGUCAAAAUUAGUCACUUUAGUGUUAGUGUUCCCAUUUCAUAAUAUUUAUUCUUUCUUCUAAAUAGAUUUAGGGAGUAGAAAUUAAAAUUCAAUGCUAUACCAAAGGGUAUACUAAUAUUUGUUUGGCUUUUUUUCCCUUUUUGUGAGGGAGAAAAAAGUAGAUAACGAAAAGCUAUAGUCAUUCGUAAUGAAAUAUACUAAACAGAAUUUUAUGAUGUCAGUUCUUGGCAUUAUAAUCUACGUAACUGAUUUAAUUGUGGACAUAUGGGUAUCUGUCAGAUUUUUCCAUGAAGGACAGUAUGUUUUUAGUGCUUUAGCGUUAAGCUUUAUGCUUUUUGGAACACUUGUGGCUCAGUGUUUUAGUUAUUCUUGGUUCAAGGCUGAUUUAAAGAAAGCAGGCCAAGAAAGUCAGCAUUGUUUUCUUCUACUUCAUUGCUUGCAAGGAGGAGUUUUU